AACGAACGCUGGCGGCAGGCCUAACACAUGCAAGUCGAGCGAAGCCUUCGGGCUUAGCGGCGGACGGGUGAGUAACGCGUGGGAACGUGCCCUUUGGUACGGAAUAGCCCCGGGAAACUGGGAGUAAUACCGUAUGUGGUCGAGAGACGAAAGAUUUAUCGCCAAAGGAUCGGCCCGCGUUGGAUUAGGUAGUUGGUGGGGUGAUGGCCUACCAAGACGGCGAUCCAUGGCUGGUUUGAGAGGAUGAUCAGCCACACUGGGACUGAGACACGGCCCAGACUCCUACGGGAGGCAGCAGUGGGGAAUCUUAGAAAAUGGGGGAAACCCUGAUCUAGCCAUGCCGCGUGAUCAAUGAAGGCCUUAGGGUUGUAAAGAUCUUUCAGUGGGGAAGAUAAUGACUGUACCCACAGAAGAAGCCCCGGCUAACUCCGUGCCAGCCGCCGCCGUAACAC
rnacentral:rRNA from 1 species